rnacentral:rRNA from 1 species
GUCGAACGGGAUCCCUGGCAGCUUGCUGCCGGGGUGAGAGUGGCGAACGGGUGAGUAAUGCGUGACCGACCUGCCCCAUGCACCGGAAUAGCUCCUGGAAACGGGUGGUAAUGCCGGAUGUUCCACAUGAGCGCAUGCGAGUGUGGGAAAGGCUUUUUGCGGCAUGGGAUGGGGUCGCGUCCUAUCAGCUUGUUGGUGGGGUAACGGCCUACCAAGGCGUUGACGGGUAGCCGGCCUGAGAGGGCGACCGGCCACAUUGGGACUGAGAUACGGCCCAGACUCCUACGGGAGGCAGCAGUGGGGAAUAUUGCACAAUGGGCGCAAGCCUGAUGCAGCGACGCCGCGUGCGGGAUGGAGGCCUUCGGGUUGUAAACCGCUUUUGUUCAAGGGCAAGGCACGGUCUUUGGCCGUGUUGAGUGGAUUGUUCGAAUAAGCACCGGCUAACUACGUGCCAGCAGCCGCGGUAAUACGUAGGGUGCAAGCGUUAUCCGGAUUUAUUGGGCGUAAAGGGCUCGUAGGCGGUUCGUCGCGUCCGGUGUGAAAGUCCAUCGCUUAACGGUGGAUCCGCGCCGGGUACGGGCGGGCUUGAGUGCGGUAGGGGAGACUGGAAUUCCCGGUGUAACGGUGGAAUGUGUAGAUAUCGGGAAGAACACCAAUGGCGAAGGC